ACACUUAUGAAAAUAAAUGGCAUUACAUCAGUGAGUUCAAACUGCUUAUUAUGUGUAAUUUGGACUGACACUGAGAUGCAUGUUGUUCUGUAACUGGUGUAGCACUAC